rnacentral:rRNA from 1 species
AUUGAACGCUGGCGGCAUGCUUUACACAUGCAAGUCGAACGGCAGCACGGGUGCUUGCACCUGGUGGCGAGUGGCGAACGGGUGAGUAAUGCAUCGGAACGUGCCCAUGAGUGGGGGAUAGCCCGGCGAAAGCCGGAUUAAUACCGCAUACGCCCUUAGGGGGAAAGCGGGGGAUCUUCGGACCUCGCGCUAUUGGAGCGGCCGAUGUCGGAUUAGCUAGUAGGUGAGGUAAAGGCUCACCUAGGCGACGAUCCGUAGCUGGUCUGAGAGGAUGAUCAGCCACACUGGGACUGAGGCACGGCCCAGACUCCUACGGGAGGCAGCAGUGGGGAAUUUUGGACAAUGGGCGCAAGCCUGAUCCAGCCAUGCCGCGUGAGUGAAGAAGGCCUC